GAUGAACGCUAGCGGCAGGCCUAACACAUGCAAGUCGAGGGAGAAGCCUUUCGGGGCAGAAACCGGCGCACGGGUGCGUAACGCGUAUGCAACCUACCUUUCACAGGGGGAUAGCCCGAAGAAAUUUGGAUUAAUACCCCAUAAUAUUGUUGGAUGGCAUCAUCUGGCAAUUAAAACUGAGGUGGUGAAAGAUGGGCAUGCGUCCUAUUAGCUAGUUGGAGUGGUAACGGCACCCCAAGGCUACGAUAGGUAGGGGUCCUGAGAGGGAGAUCCCCCACACUGGUACUGAGACAGGGACCAGACUCCUACGGGAGGCAGCAGUGAGGAAUAUUGGUCAAUGGUCGGAAGACUGAACCAGCCAUGCCGCGUGCAGGAAGAAUGCCUUAUGGGUUGUAAACUGCUUUUAUAUGGGAAGAAUAAGGUGUACGUGUACAUUGAUGACGGUACCAUAUGAAUAAGCAUCGGCUACUCGCC
rnacentral:rRNA from 1 species